GGAAUAUUGGUCAAUGGGCGCAAGCCUGAACCAGCCAUGCCGCGUGCAGGAUGACGGUCCUAUGGAUUGUAAACUGCUUUUGUACGGGAAGAAACACUCCCUCGUGAGGGAGCUUGACGGUACCGUAAGAAUAAGGAUCGGCUAACUCCGUGCCAGCAGCCGCGGUAAUACGGAGGAUCCAAGCGUUAUCCGGAAUCAUUGGGUUUAAAGGGUCCGUAGGCUGUCUGGUAAGUCAGUGGUGAAAGCCCAUCGCUCAACGGUGGAACGGCCAUUGAUACUGCCAGACUUGAAUUUCCAGGAAGCAACUAGAAUAUGUAGUGUAGCGGUGAAAUGCUUAGAUAUUACAUGGAAUACCAAUUGCGAAGGCAGGUUGCUACUGGUGGAUUGACGCUGAUGGACGAAAGCGUGGGUAGCGAAC
rnacentral:rRNA from 1 species